UCAGGCCUAACACAUGCAAGUCGAACGGACCCUUCGGGGUUAGUGGCGGACGGGUGAGUAACGCGUGAGGAUCUGCCUACAGGUGGGGGACAACAGUUGGAAACGGCUGCUAAUACCCCAUGUGCCGGAAGGUGAAAGGUUAACUGCCUGUAGAUGAACUCGCGUCUGAUUAGCUAGUUGGUGGGGUAAUGGCCUACCAAGGCGACGAUCAGUAGCUGGUCUGAGAGGAAGAUCAGCCACACUGGGACUGAGACACGGCCCAGACUCCUACGGGAGGCAGCAGUGGGGAAUUUUCCGUAAUGGGCGAAAGCCUGACGGAGCAACGCCGCGUGCGGGAGGAAGGCCUUAGGGUUGUAAACCGCUUUUAUCAGGGAAGAACACAAUGACGGUACCUGAUGAAUAAGCCUCGGCUAAUUCCGUGCCAGCAGCCGCGGUAAUACGGGAGAGGCGAGCGUUAUCCGGAAUUAUUGGGCGUAAAGCGUCCGCAGGUGGCCAAUUAAGUCUGUCGUUAAAUCGUGGAGCUCAACUCCAUACAAGCGAUGGAAACUGAUUGGCUAGAGUACGGUAGGGGUAGCGGGAAUUCCAGGUGUAGCGGUGAAAUGCGUAGAUAUCUGGAAGAACACCAGCGACGAAAGUGCGCUACUGGGCCUGUACUGACACUCAUGGACGAAAGCCAGGGGAGCGAAAGGGAUUAGAUACCCCUGUAGUCCUGGCCGUAAACGAUGAACACUAGGUGUUGCGCGAAUCGACCCGUGCAGUGCCGUAGCCAACGCGUUAAGUGUUCCGCCUGGGGAGUACGCACGCAAGUGUGAAACUCAAAGGAAUUGACGGGGGCCCGCACAAGCGGUGGAGUAUGUGGUUUAAUUCGAUGCAACGCGAAGAACCUUACCAAGGCUUGACAUCCCCCGAAUCUCUGGGAAACCGGAGAGUGCCUUCGGGAGCGGGGAGACAGGUGGUGCAUGGCUGUCGUCAGCUUGUGUCGUGAGAUGUUGGGUUAAGUCCCGCAACGAGCGCAACCCACGUCCUUAGUUGCCAUCAUUCAGUUGGGCACUUU
rnacentral:rRNA from 1 species